GGCGGAGAGGGAGGGAGAAUUCCACGCUGUCGGCACAGAGCCUGGCGUGGGGCUCGAUCCCCCGUGAAAUCAUGACCUGAGCCAAGAUCGAGAGUUGGACGCUUAACUGAGCCACCCACGCUCCCCUAGAGAUAACUCUUUUAGCUACCAUUGUAACUGGGUUAUUUUUGUGCUCUGACCCCUCAAUCACAUGUGCAUGCAACACGUCUCAUGUUGUAGUUGCUUGUAAACUCAUGUGCUAUGCUUGACUAUAUUUUUUGAGGGUAGCAACACUCUCUUCUUUAUCUCGUACUCUCACACUGAACAAAUGAAAUAAUUGAAUACUUGGAUAAAUGAAAACAAUGGCUAUUUAGCUUUUCUGCCUAAAAUAGCUUUUUAUAAACUCCUGUCCGGGAAUACCAGUGGGUGGGUAUUGCUGUAUUUAUACCAGAGAAGACCAGUAUAUGACCAGCUGUUACCCCAGCUCACCUGUCACUUAGCUUCCCCAGAAUGUGAGAGACCAAAGCAACUUGAGGGGCUGGUGAACAAGCUGGCUUCUCUCUCCAGGUCGUGCCUACAUGCGGCCUCUUCCACACCCAGAACCCAGCCAUUUCCCUUGGCCGCAUUCAGAGGCUUAGACACCCCAAUAUUGUGGGGCAGUGGGAGAAACCCAUGCAUAACUGAUCCCAGGUCCUAUCCUAGUCAGUGACCCAUGUCACCUGGGCCCACGUGGGGCAAGUGCAGUCAUUGCACAGAUAGGGAGGGAGAGCUCAUCAGGAUUUUAAAAUUCAUUAUAGCUUAUUUUGUGAAAGAAGAGUUGUUCUGAAGAUACUGGUGAGUCUUUGUGUUGUUACCUGUCUUGUAAAGCAGUGUGUAAUUUCUGGCUAAUAUCUUCAGCUCUGAUUGCAAACUGUUACCCUUAGUGAUCGCCCUGCCUUUUUUUUUUUUUUUUUUUUUUUGGCUUGUUUUAUGUUUAGUUUCAUCAAAAGCAAUAUAAAGGCUGUGUGAUAAGUAACUAAGAAGCAUCAAAGGCAGAGUUCUAGCCUGUGGAAUCAUGCGGGCCUGUAUUCAUAACCCAGCUCUGCGGCUCACUUUGUGCCCUCAAAUAUGUUAUUUACAACCUAUCUUAUAGAAGUGUUGAGAUAAUAAGGAAAGCAUUUUGGGACACCUGGGUGGCCCAGUCAGUCGAGUGUCCAAUUUUGGCCCAGGUCAUGAUCUCACAGUGUGUGGGUUUGGGUUCCCGUGUCGGGCUCUGUGCUGACAGCUCAGAGCCUGGAGCCUGCUUCGGAUUCUGUGUCUCCCACUCUCUCUGCUCCUACCUGCUCGUGCUCUCUUACUCUCUAAAGUAGAUAGAUAAGUAAGUAUUUUGAAAAGAUAUGGAAAGCACUUUGCAUACUAUAAAUAGUAAAUGGUGUUCUUAACCCUAGAACUUUCUUAUCAUUCUUGAUCGUUCUUUCCAUACAGUGUAACUUGGCAUCCGUCAAGGUGUUUGCUGCUAAGAGGCUUAUGUGCCUGGCUCUUCCAGUUGUCAGAGAGGGUGUCCAGGCACAUUUGCCGUUUUGAAAAAGGACCAUGGUUGUGCUGUGAGGGUCCCAAGUUUCAAAGCAGAGUUUUCCUUUCCUUCCUCUGCGCUUCUGUUUUGCUUUCUUGGUUCAAAUCGACUACUGUGUAUCGGGUCCUCUUAGUCACAGGUUUCUGUCCUCAAAGAAUUUCUAAUACGAUAUGUAUACAGAAGGUUAAAGAAGUUUGCCUGUUUUUCUAGGAACUGCUACUUUUACCACACAGAAUAAAGGCGAUGGAGCCAAAGUGGCAGUAAGAAAGCCUGUGCUGUCUCCAGUUACCUUCCACAGAGUUUCAGGUUUAUCGUGUGGAUGUUCACUAGGAGAACACUUCCACCUCACCUAUGACAGAGUAACUACUACCUGACUCGUCUGCCUGUCUGAACCAUAAAGUGAGUCGAACACACGUGAGGCAACUGCUCUUAGACACUGGAAAAUAGGCAACACAGAACAGUGAUCCCGGAGAGAAGGGAGACUCCUGAGGUAAGUCUCGUGAACGCCUAGCUGUCUGCUUAAGGAUAUUGUCCCCAUGACUUCAACAUAAUGAACUAGGGUCCGAGCGGAACACUUGUGGUCCUCCUACGAUGCUGAAGAGGCAGAGGUCAGGGUGGUAACAGUGGCUGGCUUCUGCAGGCCAGGGCAACAGAGAGAAGGAAGCUGGCUGCACAGAGACGAUUCCCAAAAGUCUGUGUGCAGACGGGGCAGAGCUGCUGUAUUGAGUACAAGACUCCCUGAGGCACACCAGAAGGUGGUCACUGAGGCUGAGCAUGGCUGGGGGGUGAGGGAGGCUCUGCCCAGCCAGAGCAGCGAGACCCUGCUAACACCUCAUUAACACUCCAGACAUCCAGCCUAGAAGUAAAAAUCUUACCCUAGAAUAAGGGCUACAGAAAAUACCCUUCAAUAACGAGGGUAAGAUAUAGUUCUGUCAAUGAAGCCUGAGAGAAUUAAUUGCCAAGAUCUGCACUAUACGAAAUCCAAUGAUCUUCAGGCUGAAGGGAAAUAAUACUAGACAGAGAUGUGGAUCUACAGGAAGAAAUGAAAAAGCACUGGAAAUGAUAAGACAACUAAAUGUUUAAAUGAGAACAGGAGCAGGGAGGUAAAAGGGAUUAUACUGUUGUAAAACCCCUUUAUUUCUGAAGUGGUGUGAAAUGUCAAGUUGUUAAGAGUUCACACAUAGCUCUAAAACAGCAGUUCUCAAACUUUGUGUUCGCCUUACAAAAAUCGAGGGUCCUAAAGAGCUUUUUUUUAUGUGGGUGUGUCUGUGAACAUUUAUCAUAAAAAUGAAAACAGAGAAAUGUUUAAACAUUUUUAAUUACAAUGACCCAAUGUUUAUAAGACAUAUUUACAAAGAUAUUUUCCAAAUCAAAACUUGAUGAGCAGAGUAGCAGUUUCAUAGUUUUACAAAUGUCUUUAAUGUUUGGCUUAAUGGAAGACAGCUGAAUUCCCGUACCUGCUUCUGCAUUCAACCUGUUCCAGCAUGUUGUUCUGGUCAAAGUAUAUACGAAAAAAAUCUGGCCUCACAAAUGUAGUUGGAAAAGGAGGUAUAUUGGAGGUAUAUUGUAGUUGGAAAAGGAGCUUUUUCAGACAGUAGUAUUCUUUGAUACUACACCAAAAAUUGACAAAUGGGUGACGGUUUUUAGUUUCUUCUUACAAAAAUUAUCUCCCAAAUUAUUAUUUGGGUGCAACGCCAGAAACUACCCAUGUCUCUGCACCGUAGUUUUUAUAAAGUUAACGUGAGCUUUCUAGAGUCGGGAAUCCUGUUUCCCACUCAAAGCAUCCAGCCCUGUUUCUUCAAGGCUUUUCAGGUUACAGAGCAGAGGCCAGAUCUGGCCUCCGUGAAACUUGGCUUAUUUAGAAGUCCAGUAUUGGUGGAAAGUGGUUCCUUUUUCACUCCUGGGCCAGGCCUGCACAGGUGAGUUUAAGGCUCUGUUUUAAAAUGGAGCUCAUUAUGUCUCAGGGCGAGAUUGUGACUUUCUUCUCCACAACGAAAGAAUUUUUUCCGUCGGGUUUAUCCAUAUAAGGUUGCUUCUCAAAACUUGGGGGGUAGUAAAGGAGGAGGUGAUACAGAAGAUUUUUAUUGAAAUAACUUAAAUAUUAUGUAAACUGGCUUGACAGGUCCUUUUCAUUUUUUCAUCAUUGUAAAAAGUAUGCCUAAAGAG